rnacentral:rRNA from 1 species
UAUGGAGGGUGCAAGCGUUAUCCGGAAUCACUGGGUUUAAAGGGUGCGUAGGCGGUGGCGUAAGUCAGUUGUGAAAUCCCCGGCUUAACCGGCGGGACUGCGAUUGAUACUGCGUUACUUGAAUCAGGUUGAGGUAGGCGGAAUGUGACAUGUAGCGGUGAAAUGCUUAGAUAUGUCAUAGAACACCGAUUGCGAAGGCAGCUUGCUGGACCUGUAUUGACGCUGAGGCACGAAAGCGUGGGGAGCAAACAGG